ACCAUUUAGCAUCUUAAUUUUAUAAGAAGAUCACCUCUUUCAAGAUGAAGCUCUCUGCGUUCUUUGCUAUAUUUAUGCACAAACCAUAAGAAAAUAAGUUUCUUUACGAUGAAGUUCCCAGUGUUGUGCACUAUAUUGUAUCUGUAUGUAGUCUACAUAGGACGGAGUGAGGCGCGGAGUCACUGGCCACCAAAUAACUGGACACCACCCGAAGGUUAUGGGGAUUUUCGAACAUAUACAUUUCCAGCAUGGAUCGAAAAACUUGGGCGUACAACAAAGAAAACGAAUCAAUGAAAGAAAGCACACAAACUUUUAAAAUAUGAAAUAAAGUUUUUAUAAAACAAUUUUACCUACUUUGAGAUUUUGUAUAACUUGAAAAUAUUAUUUUCUAAUGAUUUUCGGACUGUAUCCUACAGCUGCCAUAUAACUGUACGCUCGAAAAUGAUGACCCCAUAACGAUGAAAUAAUGACCCCAUAAAAAGUUGGAAUUUCCUACAGAUUAUAUUUUUGGUCAAUAAAUUCGAUCUUCCAAACAUCAUCAGAAUUAGCCGACCAAUAUUAUAGCUGCUAUAUCGAAAA